UAAAGUAUUAUAGUUUAGUAUAAUUAGUUUACACCUAUUAGGGGUUUUUCCUUUAC
rnacentral:tRNA from 1 species